UUCAUAAAAACUGGAUAUGAUCUUAUCACCUAGAAUGGAUGUACAUCGUAGAUAAAAACAUAUUAAGAGUAGCACAACUUGCUUAUUGACUUAUUAUUAGUAAGCAAUUUCUAGCUUUGGGAGAAAGUAAUGAACUAAAACAUGCCAAGCAGUUGCAAUACACAUAUAUCUUGUUUACUUCUUGGAUACAAAAGAAAGGUUGAUUUAUUCAAUCUCCUUAGACGACAACACCAAGAUCUCCUUGGCAAAUAUCUCCAUGGCUGAUUUUGGUAAGAACAUGGAUGCCACAACACAAUCCUCACCACUGUCAUUGAUGCAUCUCAUCUGAUAACUCACUUGCUUACAUUUGACAUCUCCGACCAUUGGCACACCACCAGCAACCCGUUGAGCCCAACCAAAGUCCAAGGCAUCUUCUCCUAUACGUGUUAUAUCAGACACCACAAACAUCCAUCCUGCCACAUAUGGUGGUCCUCCAUGAAGUGCGAUGAAAUCCACCAUUGAUUUUGUGAAUUCUUCGGUCAUAUCAAGCUUGGCCUUCUGGACAAGCUUCACCGCAUGGCCUAGCGACUGCUUGCAUAGCUCACUAGCGUCCGUCUACACAACAAGGUAGACGAAUCCGUUGCCGUAGAAUCCUUGCGGUAAAGGUGGAUCACGCUUCCACUUCCCACGAGCGUUCAUGGUCAUCAACAAGCAUGCCUUCUUAUUCUGGUCCGGCACAUACCCGAGAGCUACUGUGUGACACUUCCACAUUGCAGCUGUGAUGACCUCAAAUGCUGUGCUUGAGUACUGCAGUUGGGCAUGGUGUUGCAGAGCUGCAAUCUCUCUUGGGCCGAAGAAGAAGUAGUCGCCAACCAUAUGAUCUGUCGACGACGACACAUGUUGUGCUGCCGAAUUGGGCUCUACUGGGUGAUCUGGGGAUAGCUUGCUUGGUGUCAAGUGCUGCAGGAGUGAAACAUUGGGUGGGUUACGCGCUGCCAUAAGCUCUCUUCCCCACACAGGAAGAACAGUUGGGUGAUCAUCACCACGUGCUAUGUCGACUAUAGCUUUCAGAAAUUGGGUGUGGCCAAAGGCAUCCACAAUGUUGUGGCAUGAGUAAGUGCCGAUAACAAAUCCGCCACAUUUGAGCCUAGUCACCUGCAUGAAAACCAGGGGCUUGCCAAUGAUGACACUAGUGUCACCAGGGUCACACAAGAACUCGUCGACGCAUGGAUAUGGUGGCAUGAUGGGAUUCCCAAACUCAUCCAACCACACAUCAGCGUCGGCCUCAACAAAAACCACCCCUUCUCCAGUGCACUCCACAACCAACUCCCCUCCGGGGAGCUCACGGAUUCGACCAGCCACCGGGUAGAAGUAUGUGAGCGCCUUUGCAACAGCAUCCUUGACAACCUUGGCUUGGUUCUCCGGCUGAUCAUGGCCGUCGUCGACAAUGGGGUGAUGGCGGAAGAACUCCACUCCGGUGGCAUAGAAGCGUAGAGCAGGUUGGGUGUCAACAUCAGAGAGGGCCUUCAUCUCUCGAGGUGUUGCCAAUGCCGGUGGCACUAGCUCAGGAUCGCUCCGGUUUGCCUUGAAGGUGACCAUGGCUGUACUACCUUGCACUUGAAUGGAAU
rnacentral:sRNA from 1 species